rnacentral:rRNA from 1 species
CCUACGGGUGGCAGCAGUCGAGAAUCAUUCACAAUGGGGGAAACCCUGAUGGUGCGACGCCGCGUGGGGGAAUGAAGGUCUUCGUAUUGUAAACCCUUGUCAUGUGGGAGCAAAUUAAAAAGAUAGUACCACAAGAGGAAGAGACGGCUAACUCUGUGCCAGCAGCCGCGGUAAUACAGAGGUCUCAAGCGUUGUUCGGAAUCACUGGGCGUAAAGCGUGCGUAGGCUGUUUCGUAAGUCGUGUGUGAAAGGCGCGGGCUCAACCCGCGGACGGCACAUGAUACUGCGGGACUAGAGUAAGGGAGGGGGAAGCGGAAUUCCCGGUGUAGCAGUGAAAUGCGUAGAUAUCGAGAGGAACACUCGUGGCGAAGGCGGGUUCCUGGACAGUAACUGACGCUGAGGCACGAAGGCCAGGGGAGCGAAAGGGAUUAGAUACCCCUGUAGUC